rnacentral:rRNA from 1 species
CAGCAGCCGCGGGAACACGGAGGGAGCUAGCGUUGUUCGGAAUUACUGGGCGUAAAGGGCUCGCAGGCGGUUUCUUAAGUCUGAUGUGAAAGCCCCCGGCUCAACCGGGGAGGGUCAUUGGAAACUGGGAAACUUGAGUGCAGAAGAGGAGAGUGGAAUUCCACGUGUAGCGGUGAAAUGCGUAGAGAUGUGGAGGAACACCAGUGGCGAAGGCGACUCUCUGGUCUGUAACUGACGCUGAGGAGCGAAAGCGUGGGGAGCGAACAGGAUUAGAUACCCGGGUAGUCCCUGUCUCUUAUAA